rnacentral:rRNA from 1 species
AGUGAACGCUGGCGGUAGGCCUAACACAUGCAAGUCGAACGGCAGCACAGUAAGAGCUUGCUCUUACGGGUGGCGAGUGGCGGACGGGUGAGGAAUACAUCGGAAUCUACUUUUUCGUGGGGGAUAACGUAGGGAAACUUACGCUAAUACCGCAUACGACCUACGGGUGAAAGCAGGGGAUCUUCGGACCUUGCGCGAGUGAAUGAGCCGAUGUCGGAUUAGCUAGUUGGCGGGGUAAAGGCCCACCAAGGCGACGAUCCGUAGCUGGUCUGAGAGGAUGAUCAGCCACACUGGAACUGAGACACGGUCCGGACUCCUACGGGAGGCAGCAGUGGGGAAUAUUGGACAAUGGGCGCAAGCCUGAUCCAGCCAUACCGCGUGGGUGAAGAAGGCCUUCGGGUUGUAAAGCCCUUUUGUUGGGAAAGAAAAGCAGCAGGUUAAUCCCCCGCUGUUCUGACGGUACCCAAAGAAUAAGCACCGGCUAACUUCGUG